rnacentral:rRNA from 1 species
GUGGGGAAUUUUCCGCAAUGGGCGAAAGCCUGACGGAGCAACGCCGCGUGAGGGAUGAAGGCCUCUGGGCUGUAAACCUCUUUUAUCAAGGAAGAAGAUCUGACGGUACUUGAUGAAUAAGCCACGGCUAAUUCCGUGCCAGCAGCCGCGGUAAUACGGGAGUGGCAAGCGUUAUCCGGAAUUAUUGGGCGUAAAGCGUCCGCAGGCGGCCCUACAAGUCUGCUGUUAAAAAGUGGAGCUUAACUCCAUCAUGGCAGUGGAAACUGUUGGGCUUGAGUGUGGUAGGGGCAGAGGGAAUUCCCGGUGUAGCGGUGAAAUGCGUAGAUAUCGGGAAGAACACCAGUGGCGAAGGCGCUCUGCUGGGCCAUCACUGACGCUCAUGGACGAAAGCCAGGGGAGCGAAAGG